rnacentral:rRNA from 1 species
UUGGAGGGCAAGUCUGGUGCCAGCAGCCGCGGUAAUUCCAGCUCCAAUAGCGUAUAUUAAAGUUGCUGCAGUUAAAAAGCUCGUAGUUGAAUUUCGGAACCAAUAUGUUGGUUGUGCCUCGGUACGUACUGGCAUUGUUGGUUUCUCCCUUCUGACGAACUAUGAUGUCAUUAAUUUGGUGUCAUGGGGAAUCAGGACUGUUACUUUGAAAAAAUUAGAGUGUUUAAAGCAGGCUCACGCUUGAAUACAUUAGCAUGGAAUAAUGAAAUAGGACGUUUGAUUCUAUUUUGUUGGUUUCUAGGAUUGACGUAAUGAUUAAUAGGGAUAGUUGGGAGCAUUAGUAUUCAAUUGUCAGAGGUGAAAUUCUUGGAUUUAUUGAAGACUAACUACUGCGAAAGCAUUUGCCAAGGAUGUUUUCAUUAAUCAAGAACGAAAGUUAGGGGAUCGAAGACGAUCAGAUACCGUCGUAGUCUUAACCAUAAACUAUGCCGACUAGGGAUCGGAUGAUGUUAAUUUUUUAAUGACUCAUUCGGCACCUUACGGGAAAC